rnacentral:rRNA from 1 species
CCUACGGGUGGCACCAGUGAGGAAUAUUGGCCAAUGGGCGGGAGCCUGAACCAGCCAAGUCGCGUGAGGGAAGACGGUCCUAUGGAUUGUAAAACUCUUUAGGCGGGGAGAAAUGCCGGGCACGUGUGCACGGAGGGAGAGUACCCGCAGAAUAAGCAUCGGCUAACUCCGUGCCAGCAGCCGCGGUAAUAAGGAGGAUGCGAGCGUUAUCGGGAGUUAUUGGGUUUAAAGGGUGCGUAGGCGGAUUUUUAAGUCAGCGGUAAAAUGUCCGGGCUAAGCCCGGGCCGGCCGUUGAAACUGGUGAUCUUGAGUGGGCGAGAGGUAUGCGGAAGGCGUGGUGUAGCGGUGAAAUGCAUAGAUAUCACGAAGAACUCCGAUUGCGAAGGCAGCAUACCGGAGCCCGACUGACGCUGAGGCACGAAAGCGUGGGGAUCGAACAGGAUUAGAUACCCGGGUAGUC